rnacentral:misc_RNA from 1 species
CUAACCGGUACACGUACAUCGCGCACGUGUGCGUCUUCGCUUUCUUUCCUUGCUGCUUCCCGUCGUGUCGCGGGUGUCUCUGUGGAGCUGUCUGCGUGUCAGCGCGCUCUUUCCGUAUCGCGCUUCGCGCUCUUUUUUAUUUUGAGCAACUGCCAACCCUCGUCAGCGCGCCCACCCUCUACGCCAGUCGCGAUGCCUCCGUCGCACGCAGCAAAGCGUGGGCGCAGCCACAGCAGCGGUGUCAACGUCUCGGAGCGGCAGCCAAACUGCUCUGCCUCACCUCGCAACGGCGGCAAUCACAGCAGUCGCCAACGCAGCCCCGCAGCGCACGCGCAUGGCGAGCGGAACGCCUCCGGGGUGGGUCGUGGGCGCGGAACACAUCCGCACAAGCUCGGGGCGCUGCGGCUAAAGAAAGGGAUGACAAAGUACCACGAAAAGAAGUUCCGCGAGCAGCGCGGCCGUCAGCAGACGCAUCAGGGCAGCGGCCCCUCGCGCAUCCACGCGGACCCGGCGCGCAGCGGUAGCAGUAAUCAAACUCGGCCCCCCCGCAUGGCGAGCUCCAGCCGCACCAAGGAUAUCGAUAUCCACCUCGCCGCCAAGGUGUCAGCGGAUCUGAGGGAAAGCCUCAACGUUUUCAAGACCCGCCGCGCCAACCAGAGGGUCUUCUGCCAAGACCUCAACGAGCGUCUCUUUCGCUUCGUGCCACCGCCUCUGAUUCAGCAGCACAUGCCAGAUUCCGUCUCGUCCUUUCGCACGUACCUGUCGAGGUUCCAGAAGGGCGCGCCGACGAUGGUAAGCGCGUUUCUGUCGUGGUACGAGUGGGCCUCCUUUGAAGCAAACAAGGGCAAAACGUUUUCGAAGCCGCAGAGCAGCGGUGCCGGCACAACGGCCGCGGAGAAGGACGAUGACGACGAAGAGGCUGCACCGGUGAAGGGGGAGGCGGCGGCGGACGGAGAUGGCAAGAAGGCAUCUGGCAGGAAGCUGAGCCAGACGCAUCAGGUCAUGUCGCAGACAUUGAAGGAGCGAGAGCACAUGCGGGCAUUGCUGCACAUGUGCCUGCGCCACAACGCCGAAAAGCGCAAGCAGGGCCAACACGCCUUCCUCAAUCACCUCAAUGCCAAAUUGAGCGAGGACGACGUGGACGCCCGCAACCUCGAGCGCCUUCGCGGGUCGGCGCACCACUCCGUUCUCUACGCCCUGUCGCGCCUGUUGCUCGGCAUGGUGACGGACGACUUCGCCAUGCUGUGUCUCCACUGUCACUCUUUGUUCCUCGUCAUGGCGCAGACGACCAUUAGCCCCGCCGUCGUGCUGGAGCUGAUGGACGAAGAGUUCGCGUUGAGCGCGCGUAUGAAGGCGGUGAAGCUGCGCCUCGAGUCGCGCUCUUGCCGCCGCGACGGCGACGGCGACGGCGACGGCGACGGCGACGAUGGCGGCAUCGACCUCGACGAUAUCAGCGAUCCGACCAAGGGCGAGCGCAACCAGCGCCUCAUGGCGACCGUGUUUGCGCUGGGUGCCGUGGUUGCUUCGCAGAAGCGCCUCAGGCUACCGGAAGCGUCUCAGCUCGCCACGGUGCUCGCCUUCGCCUACGUGGAGCAGAAAGCGACUCGGGUGCUCUCUGCUAACGUUCUGUUCCAAGUGCUGGCGCAGCACAGCGACUUGUAUCAGCAGGAGGAGCCGCUGCAGUGGCUGACGUUCGCCUUCUUCCACUACCCCAAGAUGGAGUACUUCCGACCGGAGGCGAUACAGCUGUUGCUGCGCCUCAUGGAAACAGACGCGAAGCCGCCGGCACGCGCACUUCCCGCCACGGUCGAGGAAUACCUCACCCUAGACCCGCUCAGCCCCACGACGAUGGAACAGAUCAGCAACGCCCUGUUCCGCAAGGAGCAGGUGACGGCCUACCACCCUAUGGUGCACCCAGUGUGGCACGACAUUUUUCAGCUCGUUGUGCGCCGCGUCGCCAUGGGUGAGUCGAUGAAGGAGCACCUCGGCACGAUUCUGCACAACAUGAUCGUGCCAUACCGCCGUGGUAGCGCUGAUGUCCCACGCCGAGCGCUCUUCCAGAACCUGGUGACCGAGCUGGGCUAUAUCGCGGUUCAGUCCGACCACGCCGAGCAGCGUAUGGAAGUGCUCAAGCUGGCGAGCACGCACGUCGGGUACGGCAAGCGCACAUCGGCGAAGCCGACGACGAUGCAGGAGCUGAAGCAGAUGCCCAUCUCCGCCCUCCACCGCAAGGUCGAGGACCUCCUCCGGCAGUAUGCCAUGACUGCCGACUCGGACCCGGCCGCCGUGACGAACCGUACGUGGGUUCUGCGCGAGCUGCGCAACUGUCUCUACGUACCCGUGCGCGAAGGCGUCGACCAUGCAUACGUGGACGCGGCGGUAAUGCGGCUGCUCGAGUUCGGUCUGUUCCCUCCGCGACACUCGCGCGACACUCUCAGUCAGAACCGCUGCAUCUACCUCUUCGCCGACGUCUACUCCUUCACCUUCCAUGGUCCGCUGGCCCGUCCAAAGAGCUCUGUGGCCGCUACGACGAUCAUCACUGCUUACCUAGCGGCAGAGGAGAAGUCGAAGACGCGCUACACUACGGCUGUGCAGCAUAGCGCUUUCCGUAAGUCGCGCAACCGAGUCGUCGAGGCGCUCGAGGUACCUGAUGAGCAGCGCAGCGUCCUCUUCUACGAACGGGCCGACAUGGACAUCCUGCUGGCGCUGCUCUUUCUCAUGCUCAGCGUCGACGACCCGACAAACAGCGACGCCAUGGUGAUAGCCAAGAGCGUCAUACCUGACUUGGCACAGUUCUAUACCGCCGGCACGCUGGAGACGCUCGACCUGUUCCUCGAUGCCCUCAUGGCCCUCCUCAUGCGCACGAGUGCGCCGCUGCACGUGAUGCCGCUCAUGACGUGUGUACGGCGCAUCGCGAUGGGCUUCGUCCUGAAGUUCGCGAAGUUCAUUCGGACGAAGAGCACGCUGGACAUUCUGCUGGCGCCGCUGAAGGAUGCGUACCACACGGACAGCCGGGAGCAGGCCCGCCAGCGCAAGGCAAAGCAGGCGGCAGAGGACGGCGACAGGCAGAGCUCGAGCGACGAGGAUGGCGGCGGUGCUGGCGCUUCCUCCGACGGAGACAGCGUGGGCGGUGACGGCGGUGAUGAAGCGGCCGAGGGCGGUGCUGGCAGCAAUGAGGACGACGCGAGCAGUUCUGUCGAGGAAUCGUCCACGGAGACCGUCUCCGCCACUGUCAGCGACGACAGCGACUCGGAGGCGGGGACGGCGGAGGAGGAGGAGGACGGCGAGGCCGUGGCGGACGAGGUCACCGACGCGGAGUCGAGCGAGGGCGACGACGAGGACGCCUUCGAAGAGGAAGAGGCGCCGACGCAGCAGUACAUCGACGCGCUGAAGGGCAUGGUUGGCGGCAUGGACCUGGAUCAUGUUUACCCCACCGGCACCGCCAGCCAGGAGAAGGCGGACGUGGUGCGUGCCAUCCGCCUCGCUACGCGCGUUGGUCUCGCCAUGCGCAGCGCCGAGGUGGUGCACGUGUAUCAGGUGCUGCUGGCCGUUGCCCGUGAGAACGUGAAGACAGCCGACGACGUCGUCUUCCACAGCGCUGUCUCCUCAUUGGAAAUGUUGCUGCUCACCAAGAACCGAUAUUUCGGCUCCUUUGUAGCGGCGACAGAUCUGUUCCAGCUGCUCGGCGACAUCCAGAGCUACCUGCGCAAGCUCAGCCGUGUGCUGCUGAGUAAAGACAGCGUUAUGGCGAAGGCGGCCGCGGCGGCUCGUCGCCGCCUCGUCACGGUCAAGGGCAUCGCGUUGCGCGUGUUCCACUUUGUUGCGAUGCUGGCCAGCAAGAACCAUGCCGGCGAGGAGGUGCGUAUUGUGCUGAGCGAGUACUACAAGUCUGUGUUUUGUGACCGCGGCUGGGACACGAAGAAGCUGCUGCCCUCGCUGAAGAAGGACCUGUACCACUACCGCCAAGGCUUUGCCUGGGCGCUGCUUCCUGCCGUGCUUGAGAAGAACGAGGAGGUGCUGCCCUUGGAAGGCCCGCAGCGCGUACGCGUCUUCACCGGCUGCUGUGUCUUUGUCGAGGCGAUGCUGCCGCGGCUCAGCGGGCUGCCCGGCGAGCUGAAGCGCAGCGCUAGCGCUGCCAUCUGCGGCCUUGUGCAGUCUGUCUCGGUGGCGCAGGUCUUUGCCAUGAAGCACACCCUUCCGUACAACUACCUGCACAUGGUGAAGAUGGUGCUGCAGUACAACAGCCGCGUGCAACUUGACCCCGCAUGGGUUGCGUCCGCGGUGAUCGCGCCGGCGGUGGACGACGACGACAUUUUGCUGUCCGCCGCAUCCAUUCGGCUGCUGGGCACGAUGGAGCGCAUGCUGGGCCUCACCCCGCGUGCGAGAGAGACGAAGGCGCCGUCGCCGGUGAAGCUGCUGUAUGAGCAGUUCGUGAAGCGUGGUGCAAAGGAGAAGAGCGAUUUCUACCGCCGCGCAAAGAAGGUGCGCAGCCGUGUUCUCAAGGCCCUGCUGGCGCACCGCAACGACGAUCCGACAGACGAGGAGCGGUCAGCGAAGCGGCGGCGCAAGGAGGAGCUGAAGAUCGAGGAUCGCCUGCAGCGUCAGGUUCUUCGCAGCGCCCGCAGCAAAGCCCUCACGAAGGAGGAACGAGAGGAGAAACGCAAGCGCAUCAUGAUGGCGAAGCAGGAGCGCAUCGCCAAGAAUCGCGAGCGCAAGCGUCGCCUACACGAAGCCCGCCAGCGCUCGUUUGAAAAAUGGCGCCAAGCGAAACUCGCGGCAGCCUCGCAGGUGGACAACGAGGACGAUUAAGCAACGCACCUGCAGCGGGGCACCGCAACCAAGGAGGGCAGGUGGGCUUUGUGCUGCUGCGCUUACGUGGUGGUCGUGGUGAGAAGCCCCGAGCGUCUUUCUUCUGUUCUUCUGGUCUCGUUUCCGGCUGGCGUUGCUGUUUGCUUGGACGGCAGGCCGCCAUAGCCGUUUAGAAGGUCGCACCCACCACCUUCCCUCCCGCCUCUCCUUCUCGCCUUUCGCAUAUCCCUGUCUGUGUUUGCGUCUUGUCUUCUUGUAUGUUUUUUGGUAACAGUGUUAAGCAUGUUUCUGUUCUCAGUGUUACACUCCUUUCUCUUCCCUUCCCCUCCCCUCCCUUCCUCCGUGUUCCGUUGUUGAGCUUCGUGUUCGUGGGUGUUCGUCUGUUUGAUGAGGACGAACGGCGGUCGUGUUGAUGAUGAUGCGCAUACUUAUUUCUCUGUGUGCGCGCGCUGGGCCGUUUCCGUUUUCUUUCCUUUUCUCCACUAAAACGGCGUUUAAUGGUAGGAUUGUGUGUGUCUGUGUGUGUGUGUGCGGUAGCGCUGCCUGUGUGCCCUGCGCGUGCACGCGUCCCUGCCUCGGUCACCAUGAUGGAUGUGAUGGUGCCCAAAGAUAUACGCAUAAACAGGCACUCAGACGGAGGCACACGACCCCUCCCCCUCUCUCGGUGGCCUCUCGCUCUAAAGCAUAAGCAGAGCAGUAU